AAGACGCUUGUCUCGGUCACGUCACUUUUUCGCUGAACACAAACCAACACGGUAUUUGUCGGACCCAUUUGUCAACAAACCAGGAACGGCCUCAGCUUUCAGCAUUCUUACAGGAAGAAAUUCAAGUCUCCACAAGCAAAUUGUCUCUCAACAGCUUUCAAACUGGUCUCAAAGUAAACUGGACACAGAGUGGUGAAUGAGCCAUGACUGGCACUCAGCUCCAGGCACACCAGGCGUAGCGUUUCCCAGCAGACACCUUCACUCGGCAGGGCAGCCGGGCUGCAGGCACAGGCUGUGUGGAGAGCAGGCAGCUCUGCACCUGAGACAACAUGUGACCCACAGCACAGUGAGAGGAGAUCAACUUUAUCAGCAAUAAACUCUUUCUGACUUUCUUCUCUCUUAAAUAUCAGAAUCAUUCACUGUAUCUAAAGAUUGAUAACACAUUUCCACUUCCCCCCACUAUCCAGAAAUGAAGAUUAAGUAUCCCAGACACAAACGCCGCCAUGUGCAGUCAGAGUCUGCGAAGCGAGGUCCCAUCGAUACCCAUUAUUGACCAAUCGGGAGUCAGGCUCAUAGACUGUAUAUAUAAAGACGUGUCAAGGGUGAGGGGCGGAAGGUGAGGAGGAAGAGGAGGAGAAAGGUGAGGAAUAUGAGUAGGAAGGUGAGGAGAAGGAGGAAGAGGAGUAGGAAGGUGAGGAGGAGGAGGAAGAGGAGGAGAAAGGUGAGGAAUAGGAGUAGGAAGGUGAGGAAUAGGAGUAGGAAGGUGAGGAGGAGGAAGGUGAGGAAGAGGAGAAGGAAGGUGAGGAAUAGGAGGAAAGUGAGGAGAAAGGUGAGGAAGAGGAGGAGGAGGAAGAGGAAGAAGAGUAGGAAGGUGAGGAAUAGGAGUAGGAAGGUGAGGAGGAGGAAGGUGAGGAAUAGGAGGAAGGUGAGGAAUAGGAGUAGGAAGGGGAGGAGAAGGAAG